rnacentral:rRNA from 1 species
GUUUAUGGCCAUACCACCCUGAACACACCCAUUCUCUUCUGAUCUUGGAAGACAGACUGGGAGAAUUAACCAGAGAGUUAAUUAACCAGUGUGGUGGUUUGAUUCAGGUGUCCCCCAUAAANN